GCGAGGGUUGCUGAGCCUGGCCAAAGGCGCCGGACUUAAGAUCCGGUCCCGCAGGGGUCCGUGGGUUCGAAUCCCACCCCUCGCA
rnacentral:tRNA from 2 species